rnacentral:rRNA from 1 species
CGGAGGGUGCAAGCGUUAUCCGGAUUCACUGGGUUUAAAGGGUGCGUAGGUGGGCAAGUAAGUCAGUGGUGAAAUCUCCGGGCUUAACCCGGAAACUGCCAUUGAUACUAUUUGUCUUGAAUACUGUGGAGGUCAGCGGAAUAUGUCAUGUAGCGGUGAAAUGCUUAGAUAUGACAUAGAACACCAAUUGCGAAGGCAGCUGGCUACACAAAUAUUGACACUGAGGCACGAAAGCGUGGGGAUCAAUCAGGAUUAGAUACCCUGGUAGUCCACGCCCUAAACUAUGGAUACUCGACAUUUGCGAUAAACUGCAAGUGUCUGAGCGAAAGCAUUAAGUAUCCCACCUGGGAAGUACGAUCGCAAGAUUG